GACCACAAGCUGGAGAUUACUAUGCUGUCCCAGGGGGUCUCGAUGCUAUACUCGUUCUUCAUGCCAGCAUCAAAGCUGAAGGAGAGAAUCGAGCAACCGAUGACCGAGAUUGUUGCCAAAGUCUCCAAGAAGAAGAUUGGCAAACACGUCAAGGCGCUGGUGUUCGAGCUGUGCUGCAACGAUGAGAACGACGAAGAUGUCGAGGUCCCCUACGUCCGUUACACCAUCCGCUGAAAGCCGGAGUGUGGGGGGGGAGGGGGAGGGGGGAAUCCUGGUGGUGGGAGCGGGCUGUGGGAUGCUGCUUUCCUGUGGGGCGUGUCAGUCCUAACCUGAGCGUCCGCGCGUUUCGGAGGGGAAGGGAAGGGGGGUGUGUGCUGAGUUCCGCGCGGUUCCCUCAAUCUCCCUGGAAACCCCCCCACCUCUGGUCUGCAUGUCUGAGCACCUUCAGGUGGGGGGGGGGAGACACGCCAGGCGCGAUCUUGUAUUCCCCCUCCCCAUCCCAGUCUCCCCACCCUCUCCAGGCGUGAGUGUGUGUGUGUGAGAGAGAGAGAGAACGCGUUAGAAUCCCUGAUCGCCCUUGACCUUGCGUCGUUUAAUUUAAACGUGUCGUGUGUAGCCUCUGCCCGCCCCCCCCCCGUCUCUCUCUGUCUGUUUGGAGUCUCCCGGGGGCUGAAUUUUGGUGGAACUUGGGGGGGGGGCGGUGGGGGGAGAGAUGAGUCUGUUGAAGAAUGGGGGCACCCCCCCUUUCUCCUUGACUCGCCCCCUGAGCCAAAGGAUUCCUUUGUCUCGUUCCUCCAGUCGUGGUGUCGUAGCGUGUGUCCCCCUCCCCCAUCGGCUGUAGUUGCUUUUAUUUCUCUCCCCGUGCGGGAUCGGAGGGAGGGAGGGGUGUGCGGUGGGAGGAAGCCCGUGUGGGGUUUGGGGGAACGUCCGUGUGUGUGUGCAUAUUUUUUGUUCUGUGUAUAACUGUGUCUUGGACCCUCCCCCCACCCACCACCUGCUGUGUCCACUCCCUAUCUGUCACCCUUGUGUUUGUGAGUGUGUGUGUGUGGGUUGCGGGGGAGAUGCUCCUAUUCUGUUGGCUGUUACCCACCAUGAAAAAGACAGCGGGCUGACCCCACCCCCCCUCUCCCCCUCCCCCGGCUCUGGGCAGGGAGGGAGGGAGGAUGGUCGUGGUGUUUCCCAGGCUGCGUGGAGUGGGGGGGUGGGAGGGGAGUUGGGGAACAGAACCCAGACGCACCGGUCUUGUGUACACAUAGGCUACGGCUGCAAUAAACUUUCACAGUAACCAACAGUUCA